GAUGAACGCUGGCGGCGUGCCUAAUACAUGCAAGUCGAGCGAACGGACGAGAAGCUUGCUUCUCUGAUGUUAGCGGCGGACGGGUGAGUAACACGUGGAUAACCUACCUAUAAGACUGGGAUAACUUCGGGAAACCGGAGCUAAUACCGGAUAAUAUUUUGAACCGCAUGGUUCAAAAGUGAAAGACGGUCUUGCUGUCACUUAUAGAUGGAUCCGCGCUGCAUUAGCUAGUUGGUAAGGUAACGGCUUACCAAGGCAACGAUGCAUAGCCGACCUGAGAGGGUGAUCGGCCACACUGGAACUGAGACACGGUCCAGACUCCUACGGGAGGCAGCAGUAGGGAAUCUUCCACAAUGGGCGAAAGCCUGACGGAGCAACGCCGCGUGAGUGAUGAAGGUCUUCGGAUUGUAAAACUCUGUUAUUAGGGAAGAACAUAUGUGUAAGUAACUGUGCACAUCUUGACGGUACCUAAUCAGAAAGCCACGGCUAACUACGUGCCAGCAGCCGCGGUAAUACGUAGGUGGCAAGCGUUAUCCGGAAUUAUUGGGCGUAAAGCGCGCGUAGGCGGUUUUUUAAGUCUGAUGUGAAAGCCCACGGCUCAACCGUGGAGGGUCAUUGGAAACUGGAAAACUUGAGUGCAGAAGAGGAAAGUGGAAUUCCAUGUGUAGCGGUGAAAUGCGCAGAGAUAUGGAGGAACACCAGUGGCGAAGGCGACUUUCUGGUCUGUAACUGACGCUGAUGUGCGAAAGCGUGGGGAUCAAACAGGAUUAGAUACCCUGGUAGUCCACGCCGUAAACGAUGAGUGCUAAGUGUUAGGGGGUUUCCGCCCCUUAGUGCUGCAGCUAACGCAUUAAGCACUCCGCCUGGGGAGUACGACCGCAAGGUUGAAACUCAAAGGAAUUGACGGGGACCCGCACAAGCGGUGGAGCAUGUGGUUUAAUUCGAAGCAACGCGAAGAACCUUACCAAAUCUUGACAUCCUUUGACAACUCUAGAGAUAGAGCUUUCCCCUUCGGGGGACAAAGUGACAGGUGGUGCAUGGUUGUCGUCAGCUCGUGUCGUGAGAUGUUGGGUUAAGUCCCGCAACGAGCGCAACCCUUAAGCUUAGUUGCCAUCAUUAAGUUGGGCACUCUAAGUUGACUGCCGGUGACAAACCGGAGGAAGGUGGGGAUGACGUCAAAUCAUCAUGCCCCUUAUGAUUUGGGCUACACACGUGCUACAAUGGACAAUACAAAGGGCAGCGAAACCGUGAGGUCAAGCAAAUCCCAUAAAGUUGUUCUCAGUUCGGAUUGUAGUCUGCAACUCGACUACAUGAAGCUGGAAUCGCUAGUAAUCGUAGAUCAGCAUGCUACGGUGAAUACGUUCCCGGGUCU
rnacentral:rRNA from 1 species